rnacentral:tRNA from 1 species
GACUCAAUAGUGUAAUGGAUCAGAAUAUCAGACCGGAUAUCUGUAACUGCGGGUUCGAGUCCCGCUUGAGAUU